AAUAUCAAAGGUGAGCCAGUACAGGAUGGACCCGCGUCUGAUUAGCUAGUUGGUAAGGUAACGGCUUACCAAGGCGACGAUCAGUAGCCGACCUGAGAGGGGGAUCGGCCACAUUGGAACUGAGACACGGUCCAAACUCCUACGGGAGGCAGCAGUGGGGAAUAUUGCACAAUGGGCGAAAGCCUGAUGCAGCAACGCCGCGUGAGUGAUGAAGGCCUUCGGGUCGUAAAACUCUGUCCUCAAGGAAGAUAAUGACGGUACUUGAGGAGGAAGCCCCGGCUAACUACGUGCCAGCAGCCGCGGUAAUACGUAGGGGGCUAGCGUUAUC
rnacentral:rRNA from 1 species